rnacentral:lncRNA from 1 species
CAGGGCCCUUCCUCAGGGUGGGAGGAUUCCCUGCCCGCUACCUGCUCUGCUGGGGGGCAGGAGGGUGCCCUUGGUGCAGCACCUCACAAACGUGCAGACACAUGCGUGCGUGCACGUGCACACGCACACACAUUGCGGCUCCCGCGCCACGACCCGCCUCGGGCGCAGGCAUGGGAUGCCGGUUGAGUUUGCAGGGUGUUUGACCUGCUCGUGCGAGGACGAGGCAGUGGGAAGUGCUGGGGCCCAGCUGCGGCAGGAUGGGGGCAGUGGCAGCACUGCGGGUUCGCAGGGAUGCUGUACCCCACGCCAGGCCCCAACAUGCGGGGGAGCCUGAAGGUGGAUGGCACCUCCACCUCCAUUUGCUCCACCUCAACCUCAACCUCACCUCUUUCACUUCCACGUCUUCCACCUCCUCCCCCCCUACCUCCAUAUCGAUCUCUUCCAAUGCCAUUUCCAUUUCCUCCACCUUCAUCUCACCUCCCACCUCCUCCAUCUCUCCUAAAACUCAUCUCCACCUCCUGUACGUCCACCUCCAUCUCCAUCUCCUCCAAGGCCACCUCUGUCCCAACCCCACCUCUACCUCCUCCACUUCAAUCUCCUCUGCUCCACUUCUACCCCCAACCCCACUUCCAUCUCCAGAUCCAUCUCCCUCAAUCCCACCUGUUUCCUCCACCUCUACCUCAAGCCCACCUCCACCUCCAUGUCCACGUUCACUUCCAUAUUCAUCUUCCCCAACCCCCCUUCCACCUCCACCACUUCCAUCUCCUCUACCUCCACCUCCUCCACUUCCAUUCCAACCCCACCUCCACACUUGUCUCCUCCAUCUCCUCCUCAGCCUCCUGCUGUGGCCACAUCAAAAGCUGGGUAUCAUCUGCAGGCUCCUUCUCUUCGUGGCCCCAGCUGACAGAGUGGGCAUGGCCUCCCAUGCUGCAGGACAUGGUACCCUGGCUCUGCCCUGGUGCCACCACCUGUCUUGGGGUGGGGGGGCUCAUACCAGGCACAGCGCCACCGAGGGAAAGACAGGAGCCAACCAACGCUGUCCCCACAGCCAUGCCACAGCUGGCCUGCCCACCAUCCACCCUCAUGCUCAGCGUUGGUCGCGUCAACUCUCCCAGACAUGCCGGGGGGGGCAGGGGGGGAUGGUUCCCAGAGGGGCCAUGUCUGCUUCCCACAGCAUCAGGGCUGCAGAGCUCACGGGGGAGCCGCUGAGUCCAAAUCCUGCCCUGCAGGAGCAG